CCAGACUCCUACGGGAGGCAGCAGUGGGGAAUAUUGGGCAAUGGAGGAAACUCUUACCCAGCAAUGCCGCGUGAGUGAAGAAGGUCUUCGGAUUGUAAAGCUCUUUGAUUGGGGAUGAAUAAAUGACGGUACCCAAAGAACAAGCCCCGGCUAACUACGUGCCAGCAGCCGCGGUAAUACGUAGGGGGCGAGCGUUGUCCGGAAUGACUGGGCGUAAAGGGUGUGUAGGCGGUUUAUUAAGUUAGAAGUGAAAUACCUAGGGCUUAACCCAGGUGCUGCUUCUAAAACUGAUAGACUUGAGUGCAGUAGAGGAAAGUGGAAUUCCUAGUGUAGCGGUGGAAUGCGUAGAUAUUAGGAGGAACAUCAGUGGCGAAGGCGACUUUCUGGACUGUAACUGACGCUGAGGCACGAAAGUGUGGGGAGCAAACAGGAUUAGAUACCCUAGUA
rnacentral:rRNA from 1 species